UCCCACUCAGCGCGGGCAGUCUUCCUAGAGUGCCCCCUUGCGGGGUUGCAACUAAGAACAGGGGUUUCGCUCGUUACAGCACUUAAGCUAACAUCUCACGACACGAGCUGACGACAGCCAUGCAACACCUGAUGAAGGCUCCCCUUGCGGGGUCGUUACCGUUUCCGGUUCCUACUACCUCCACUUCAAGCCCAGGUAAGGUUCUUCGCGUUGCAUCGAAUUGAACCACAUGCUCCACCGCUUGUGCGAGCCCCCGUCAAUUCCUUUGAGUUUUAACCUUGCGGCCGUACUCCCCAGGCGGAACACUUAACGCGUUAGCUGCGGCAGAGAAGGGCAAGCCCUCCUCCACCUAGUGUUCAUCGUUUACGGCUGGGACUAC
rnacentral:misc_RNA from 1 species